rnacentral:rRNA from 1 species
AGAGUUUGAUCAUGGCUCAGAAUCAACGCUGGCGGCGCGCUUAACACAUGCAAGUCGAGCGAGAAAGGGGGGCAACUCCUGAGUACAGCGGCGUACGGGUGAGUAACACGUGGGUAAUCUACCUCUUAGUGGGGAAUAACCAUGGGAAACCGUGGCUAAUACCGCAUAAGCCUGAGAAGGGAAAGCAGCAAUGCGCUGAGAGAGGAGCCCGCGGCCGAUUAGCUAGUUGGUGAGGUAAAGGCUCACCAAGGCAAAGAUCGGUAGCCGGCCUGAGAGGGCACACGGCCACACUGGCACUGAAACACGGGCCAGACUCCUACGGGAGGCAGCAGUGGGGAAUCUUGCACAAUGGGGGCAACCCUGAUGCAGCGACGCCGCGUGAGCGAUGAAGCCCUUCGGGGUGUAAAGCUCUUUCGGCAGGGAAGAUGAUGACGGUACCUGCAGAAGCAGCUGCGGCUAACUACGUGCCAGCAGCCGCGGUAAUACGUAGGCAGCAAGCGUUGUUCGGAGUUACUGGGCGUAAAGGGUGUGUAGGCGGUUCUUUAAGUUUGUCGUGAAAUCUCCCGGCUCAACCGGGAGGGUGCGGCGAAUACUGAGGAGCUAGAGUGCGGGAGAGGAGAGUGGAAUUCCUGGUGUAGCGGUGAAAUGCGUAGAUAUCAGGAGGAACACCGGUGGUGUAAACGGCUCUCUGGACCGUAACUGACGCUGAGACACGAAAGCGUGGGUAGCAAACAGGAUUAGAUACCCUAGUAGUCC